rnacentral:rRNA from 1 species
UAGGGAAUCUUCGGCAAUGGACGAAAGUCUGACUGAGCAACGCCGCGUGAGUGAAGAAGGUUUUCGGAUCGUAAAACUCUGUUGUUAGAGAAGAACAAGGACGUUAGUAACUGAACGUCCCCUGACGGUAUCUAACCAGAAAGCCACGGAUAACUACGUGCCAGCAGCCGCGGUAAUACGUAGGUGGCAAGCGUUGUCCGGAUUUAUUGGGCGUAAAGCGAGCGCAGGCGGUAUCUUAAGUCUGAUGUGAAAGCCCCCGGCUCAACCGGGGAGGGUCAUUGGAAACUGGGAGACUUGAGUGCAGAAGAGGUGAGUGGAAUUCCAUGUGUAGCGAUGAAAUGCGUAGAUAUAUAGAGGAACACCAGUGGCAAAGGCGGCUCUCUGGUCUGUAACUGACGCUGCGGCUCGAAAGCGUGGGGAGCAAACAGG